UUAGAUGGAUGAAGUGUGUGUAUAUAGCAUUACUUAUUUUAUAUUAUAAUGUGAGUUGAUAAUAGGAAGUAUUUUAUUUUGGGGAAAACUUCAAACUCCACUAUGUAGUUUUACAUUUUCUCACUUUAGUAUUAUAUGAUUUAAAGUGUAUCAAUUUAAUAUUCUAUGAUUUUUAUCUUUUUAUUUUUGAUUCUACCAAUUUUUUUUGUUAAAUUAGUGAUAAAGUUUUUUUAUUUUUUUUGAGAGAUAGGUAGCAUGCUACCCGCUUCGUUUAUUUCAUUUAGAAAAAAACUUAGCUGAAAAUGUGAAUUAACUAGAAUUCGAACUUGGGUCUCGAGUACCAACCACUAAAUUCUUUACCACUUGAUAAAGUUAAAACUAAAAAAUACUAAAAUGAAUAUUCGAUAAACCUAUGUGGAGAUAUCUGAAAUUUUUUGUAUAUAAUUUAACGAAAUAUUAACUAAAAAAUUGACAAAAAAUUAAAAAUAAAAUUAUAAGAUACUAACUUGAUAUACUUUAAAUUACGAAAUACUAAAAGGAGAAAGUGCGAAACCACAUGGGUGGUUAUUGAAGUUUACCCUUUAUUUU
rnacentral:lncRNA from 1 species